rnacentral:rRNA from 1 species
AUGCACGCUAGCUACAGGCUUCACCCCUGCAAGUCGCGGGGCAGCAUGAACUUAGCUUGCUAAGUUUGAUGGCGACCGGCGCACGGGUGAGUAACACGUAUCCAACCUGCCGAUGACUCGGGGAUAGCCUUUCGAAAGAAAGAUUAAUACCCGAUGGCAUAGUUCUUCCGCAUGGUAGAACUAUUAAAGAAUUUCGGUCAUCGAUGGGGAUGCGUUCCAUUAGGUUGUUGGCGGGGUAACGGCCCACCAAGCCUUCGAUGGAUAGGGGUUCUGAGAGGAAGGUCCCCCACAUUGGAACUGAGACACGGUCCAAACUCCUACGGGAGGCAGCAGUGAGGAAUAUUGGUCAAUGGACGAGAGUCUGAACCAGCCAAGUAGCGUGAAGGAUGACUGCCCUAUGGGUUGUAAACUUCUUUUAUACGGGAAUAAAGUGAGGCACGGGUGCCUUUUUGUAUGUACCGUAUGAAUAAGGAUCGGCUAACUCCGUG